CAUGUGGGCUUUUAUUAAACACCGUUAAUUAAGUACGUUACGUUGUUAAAACAAUAUGAUUUUCGUAGUUGAUUUUUUUUGUUUAAUAAAAAAAAACCCUAAACACGACAAAAGAUGUGUAUAUGUUUUUUUUUACAUUGGACAUCUCACAUAUGAAAAAUGUCGGAACGACUCUGGCGAUGGCCCAUCUCACUCAAAUUUUCAAAGACAUAUUUGAUAAGAUUUCAUCCGCUUAACAUUUUUAAAGAACGCAAGGAACUGAGGAAGAAGUUAUCAACGGCUUAUACUUCGACGGGGAUAUUUCUAGUAAUUUAAGAAACGGUUCCCAACUAUAUAUUCUCUCUUAACCAGAGGUGGUGGGCUAGUGGUUCUAGUCUGGUGGAAGAGUGGCCCUGUUGGUCUAGGUCAGGGAUCGACUCUCCCCAAACGCAGAAUUGCUUAGCAACAUCCCUUUGGCCACAUGGGUAUAGGCCUACUGCUUAAGGCCCAUUUGAAAACCCGGUGAGAAUCCUACCCAUGGGAUACCCUCUCCCGAGGGAUUAAUCUUGAACUCCUCCAUAAAUUCGGAGAUUUACCCUAAAUUAUCAAAAAAAACAAAAAAAACUAUAUAUCCUCUCGUAUGACUAAACUUCCUCGCAUCUUUUAAAUUUGAUGCAGUCGACUCGUAGUUUGCUCUUGGACAAACUCGACAUAUAAUCCCAAUUGUGUUUUUAUUAAUAUUUCUUGUUCGACGCUGUUUUUUUUUUUCAUUUAGUUUUUUAACCCACCACCUUCGUUGUGAAUUACU